rnacentral:lncRNA from 1 species
AGCUGCUGUUAGUCAGCAGUGUCUCUCAUGUAAUUGUAGUACAGUGAGCUGUUGUGGUCUUGUGUCUGCCUGCCUGCCUGUCUGUCUGUCUGCCUUCCUGUCUGUCUGCUGAGGAUUUCCAUCUCCUUCCGGGAUACCCUCUUUACCGGGGACCCAGGAGGAGAGAGGAAGAGAGGAAAGAGCGUGCCUUGUUUGACCUUCGGAGCGGUUUCAGAGUGAGGAAGAAGGAGAGGAACGGGCGAGAAAAGCAGAAUCCAUCAGGAGUAGACCAAGGUGUAGCGUGAUCGUUCACAGCUUUGUGGAAGUUACCUGUGACGC